rnacentral:lncRNA from 1 species
AGUAAGUCUGGAAAAACUUCUCUUACAUGCUUUCAAAAACUUCCAAGAAACCUAAGGUAUAAAAAAUCAAUGUGCUAGAACAAUUCUCGAGAAACAGCCUCUCUGCCCUUUCGGGUAGGGGUAAGACCCGUCUACAUAUUACCCUCCCCAGAUCCCAUUUUGUGGGACUAUACUGGGUAGUUGUUGUUGUUUUGUUGUUGUGCUAGAACAAUUCAGCCAUCGAGCAGUUGUAACACAUUCGAGAGCUGAUCUUCAUCCUUUCAUCUUACUUCUGAAACAGAACACAAAGUUAGCGGCGGACCUGACUAAAAAAUGUAGACCUGAAACUAUGCAUAUUAUCUACAUCAGUACCAGUUUAAGGGCAAGAGUAGAUCACAAACCAGAUGGUAUCAACUUUCACCUCCAUUCUAACGUAUCAAAAAAAACCUAAAGCUUUCACUUUUGCAGCACAGACAAAAUGGCUAUUCCUCUAAACUACUAAAAGACUACUGCAUAUCUAUAGUAUCAUCAGAAUGCUUUAAAUAAUUUCAUGUGCUUAGACCUAAAUAAAUAUAUAAAAUUGCUCCCUCCCUAACAUGUGUCACUAUCAACCAUCAACAAAAUAUUUUCAUGUGCUUAGACAGGAAAAAAAUAAACUCAUACAUGACGGGAUUGCAAACUUAAAUAAAUAAAUAAAAGUGUUCCCUCUCUCAUUGAACACAACAACUAGAAGAGUGAGCAACAUGAUACCAAGAAUAGUACAAUGAUCCAUUGAAUGAAAUGGGCGUAGUCUAGGAUGUUAGUCAAUUGCUUACUUCUUCACUGUCAUCUAGGACUAGAACUGCACUAUGUUGCCGUUUCCAGUGUAAAGAAUAUCAGAAGAAGAGUAUUAUUUGGAAACCUUCUGCUAGCCCAAGAUCAUUAAAUAAGAUUGGAGGAUUCAACUAAAGAAGAGGAAGCUUGAAAAGAGAAAAGAGAUUUUUGAAAGGAGAAAUUUAUUAUUGAAGAAGACUUUCU